rnacentral:misc_RNA from 1 species
AGUUAAACAGUACGUGAAAUUGUUGAAAGGGAAACGAUUGAAGUCAGUCAUACCAACGGGAAAUCAACCUUUUGAGCUUGGUCUCGUGGGUUUUGAAGAGUUUCAAAGCCUUCGGAUUCGCGGGAUUGGGAUCUCUUGGUGUACUUUUUCGUACGGUUAGUCAACAUCGGUUUUGAAUGUCAUAAAAUGACUGGAGGAAUGUAGCUUCGAUCUCGUAUUGAAGUGUUAUAGCCUUUGGUAGAUGUGAUGUUUGAGACCGAGGAUUGCAACGGAUACCCUUCAGGGCUAUUCGUCUGAUCUCUGAUACGUUGCCCUGAUGUUGAAAGCUUGCUUAUGAUGUUAGGGUAUUACGGUCAAAAGGUUAGAACGAAUUACAUUCGUUAAGGAUGUUGACGUAAUGACUUUAAA